UUCUGGCUCAGGAUGAACGCUAGCGACAGGCUAACACAUGCAAGUCGAGGGGCAGCAUAAAAGUAGCAAUACUUGGUGGCGACCGGCGCACGGGUGAGUAACGCGUAUGCAACCUACCUAUCAGAGGGGAAUAACCCGGCGAAAGUCGGACUAAUACCGCAUAAAACAGGGACACCGCAUGGUGAUAUUUGUUAAAGAAAUUCGCUGAUAGAUGGGCAUGCGUUCCAUUAGGUAGUUGGUGAGGUAACGGCUCACCAAGCCGACGAUGGAUAGGGGAACUGAGAGGUUGGUCCCCCACACUGGUACUGAGACACGGACCAGACUCCUACGGGAGGCAGCAGUGAGGAAUAUUGGUCAAUGGGCGAGAGCCUGAACCAGCCAAGUCGCGUGAAGGAAGAAGGAUCUAUGGUUCGUAAACUUCUUUUGCAGGGGAAUAAAGUGCAGGACGUGUCCUGUUUUGUAUGUACCCUGAGAAUAAGGAUCGGCUAACUCCGUGCCAGCAGCCGC
rnacentral:rRNA from 1 species